rnacentral:rRNA from 1 species
AUGUUGAUGCCGUUUCUAGCUCAGACAUCUCAAACUACACGUCCUGUUGCGAGUUGUUUUGGGCUGAAUCGCUGCCACCCGGCGCGGAAUUUCGGCCGAUAUUGUAGAUGGUGGGGGGCAAGAAGCAAGGCAAUUCAUUCCCCUCGCAGCAUAUUUGGGCCCACUAAUGGCGCUCCAUCUAGUGAUAUUGUGAAGAAAAGAAAGAUAGUGGAGCACAUUAUUCUGCUCAGAGCCAAGCCAAACAUCUCAGAUGCUGAAGAAAAGGACAUGCUUGAUUACUUGUAUACAUCUCAGUAUCAGAUGAGAGGGAUACUCACUGUGUCAUUAGGCCGCAUAGAGGGCCCUAACAGCGAGAGCUUCACGCAUGCUGUCUUCAUGCGUUUCCAACAGAAAGAAGACAUUGCAAAGUUCCAGAGUAGCUCCUACUAUUCCAAAGUUCUCGACGAGCACGUCAAACCCGUUUCCUAUGGCUUGGUUUCUGUAGAUUUUGAGUCUGAGGUGGAAGAUGACAUUAUCCCUCUCUUUCGGAGGGGCGAGGAUUUCAACUACGGUGUCGAGUUUAUGUUGUUGAUAUCUUUCUUGGAGACUGCAUCCAGAGAGUCUGUGGAGGAUGCAUUAGCCCAUCUUCAAAAGCUGAUCAUCCACUACAGUUCUUUCAUUGUUCAGGCAACGUCAGGUUGCUGUCUGGAUCAUAUGGAUAGUCUGUACAGUCACGCUUCAGUUAUCCGUUUUCCAUCAAUUGACGACUUCAAAUUAUUCAAGGAGAGCACGGAAUACAAGGAUAUGUGGACAUCCAAAUUUCAUCCGGUUACUGAGAGAUGUCUGGAGCUGCAUUUUGUCGUCGACCCGGUCGGCAACCAGCUGAUGUAG